rnacentral:lncRNA from 1 species
UGAGGUUGAUUUUCUUUGUGACAGACUUACCUACACUUGUACAUUCAACUAUCAUCUUCUUCAAAGAAGAAACUGUGGCAGGUGCUAUUCCACAACCCAUGUUUAUGUUCAAGCUUUGUUGGAUUCCUGUUUGGGAAUUUCCUUCCGAGGCGGGCGGUGUCACAUUCAUUUGAAGUCAGUCAAUAAUGACCCAGAUGUGGCACAUGAAACAGAGUUGGCCAGGAAAAAGAAGUCCCUGUAAAGCUCAUGUCAGAGAGAGAGAGAGAAGGAAGAAGCAUGGAUGGGCCUUAAAGAUAUUCUAGGAAGAUGUGGCCAAGGAGAAACAACUUCCUAUUCCUAUCCUGUAGCCUGCCAAGCCUGAGAAGCUACCUCCCUGAAAAUCUUCCUAGGACUCCUCAGCUUCCUCAAUGCUACCAAAUACCCACUAUCUCCAUAGACACACACAAA